GUUGGUGUGAGUGCUCUUCUAACAGACGAUCUUCGUGGGAGCGUUUCCGGCAGACUGGCGCACCUGCAGCGGAUUCCCGCAAUCGGCUGCAGGAUUCUUAAGAAGCGGUGGAGCAGCUAUUCAUCGCUCGAUGGUCCCACUUGUUGAUCUCGAUCAGUUGUCUGGAUCAAGCCAGGAACCACGCCUAUCACAGCGCGCAGCAGCGGCUGCUCUUUGUCACCAGGACUCCUCCGCCUGCCGAUCGUGCCCCUGUCACUCUCGCAGAACCUCUGUGCCUCUUGGAUCCUUUCCCCUUCCUCAGCAACCCUGCAUCAGACGAACUAACCGGAGCCGCCCAACCGCUGCCGGUUCGAGAGUCAACCUGGAUUAGAUUUCAUUCAACAUUUAUUGUUAAAUAAAUAAUUUGAAUCAAGACUUUUCGGCCUUUGUGGUAGAACCUGCAUGUGGGUGAAAAACCUCAAAUCCAACAUGACAGAACCAUCGAGCCAUGUUGACCCAGCAGGCUCACACACUAGACCCGGAUUAAGUUCAGCAGAACUACUAGCUCGCCACGAUGCCAUGCUCCGCACUUUAUUGGAUCAGCAGAGUUUCCAGGGCCAGGUGAUGGAUCAGUUGAGAUCCACAGUCUCAGAACUGUCACACAGACUGGAGCAUAACCCUCUGCCUCAUGUUACAGCCGGGGCAGCGGCCUCCGCCCCACCACUUGGGGAGGAGCAGUCAACACCUUCA